UGCGCUUGCGCGCCGGGGCCCGGAGUGCAGUGAAAUUCCGGGAGGGCGGGGGGAGGUGGCGAGUGAGCGGCAGACACGGAGCGACGGGCUUAAGCCCCGGUUAGGGACCCUGUGUGCUACGGCGGCGCCCGACGCGGAGCCAGACCCCGGGGGGGCCAGGAGCGGGCGGCGUGAGGGGGACUCGCCGCCGCCGGCCAGUUCGUUCGCCGCAGCAGCCUCGCCGCCGCUCGGACUCCCUCCCCGGGCAGAGAGGGGGAGAAUGACGGAGCUCCAGUCCGCCCUGCUACUGCGGAGGCAACUAGCAGAGCUCAACAAAAAUCCAGUGGAAGGUUUUUCAGCAGGUUUAAUAGACGACAAUGAUCUUUACCGAUGGGAAGUCCUCAUUAUUGGUCCUCCAGAUACAUUGUAUGAAGGUGGCGUCUUCAAGGCUCAUCUCACUUUUCCAAAAGACUAUCCUCUCAGGCCGCCGAAGAUGAAGUUCAUCACAGAAAUCUGGCAUCCAAAUGUUGACAAGAACGGUGAUGUCUGCAUUUCCAUUCUUCAUGAGCCAGGAGAAGACAAAUAUGGCUAUGAAAAACCUGAGGAACGCUGGCUUCCCAUCCACACAGUGGAAACUAUAAUGAUUAGUGUCAUUUCUAUGCUGGCAGAUCCCAAUGGUGACUCUCCUGCUAAUGUUGAUGCAGCGGUAAGACUCCUGGUUUGUAAAUACAGUGGUGCUAUGUGUAGCAGAAAGCUUAUUUAUUGUAAAUGCAAAAACCUGAAGGGCAUAUUUUAUGACUUGGUAAGCAUGGUAUUAGAUGACUGGUAAGCAAAGACUGUACUCUUGCCCAGUAAAAAUGUACGUGUAAUGAAGCUUAAUAGCUAGUCUUAAAGGCUAGCGUCUGAAAUUCCGCCCCAGAAUUGCUUUGUGGAUUACUUUUUCUUGGUAAACAAGUAUUUGUUGCUAACUACAGACAAAAUCCUCCUGCUUUAUAGGCUGAACAAGGCAGACACUGAAACAGACUUGUCAGAUAGCAGCUUACACAGGAUACAGAAACAGGCAGGGUAGAGACUUUCUGCAGUAAAUUUUGGGGCUUGGUUGCUCAAAUGUAAUCGAAAAACUUCAGCUGUCUCCAUAGCAGUGAAACUUGAUGUAAGUGGCUAUGACUAUGACUAGAUACAACUUGUCAACCAGUGAUCUGAAGAUGUAAAAUACAACUCUUGUAGCUCACAACUCCUGUGUCUUUCAGUCUAUGCUGGAAACCCUUUCUGAUGGUUCAUAUGCUACUUAGCAUGUAGUGCAGAAAAGGUUUGUUUAGGGAGUCUUUUGUGUCUUGGAUGAGACUAACCAUAGAAACUGAUGCAGGGAUCUCAGCAGGAAAAGUUGGUGAUAAAAAUGUAUCUGUUCUUCCUCUUGCCCCUAAAACGUCAGCCUAUGUCAGUGUCAUGAGUAUAGAGUUAAACAGUGUAUACAUGGGAGUUAAUGUCUUCUUUUACAGACUUUAAAUAGUGGAGGAAUUGCCACUUAAAGUUGGGAGAGGGGGAGAAAUCUAAAUUAAGAUGAGAAGGUCUUUAAUAAUGCAGGAGGCUGUAGGGAUGUGUGUCUAGUGUCACUCUGCUGAAGUGGGAGCUCAGCUUUCCCAAGUCUGGGAAAGCUAGUGGUACAGUAUGAGGGUCAGUCUUGAUUAGUAGACUUGUCCUCAAAUCAGUGGUGGAAACAGUCUUUUCCCAAUACAAAAUAGCUAUCAAAGAAAGCAGUUCUUGGUUAUUUUUCUGUACACAUCCAACCACUCAUGCUGUGCAUGUUACCAUUGGAGACUUGAGUAUCAAGGAGACACAGAUCUUUCAUACAGCAAACUUGAAUCCUGUGGAGGAGCAAACUGUGCUUUAAAUGCCCAAUAGUGUGUAGUACAUUUUAGUUCUCUAAUGACAAUUUAACACUAAUCUGUAGCUGACUUUUUCUGGUUUCUACAUACUUAUUUUUACACACUACAUCUGGUGAUCUUUCACCAAAACUUCCAGUAACUAGCUUCUUUGAAAAGUGUGCUACUGCUUUCCCAGUAGGUAUUUUGUGAAAGGGACACUCCUUCUGCGAAUCUAUAAAAGCACAUGCUAGACCAAAUGUCCAAACUUUUGAAAGUUAUUCCAAAGGUAGGGAGAAAAUUGCUGGCAAGAAGUUGGAAGGCUUCAGGUUUCAUCCUGCAGUAUGCUUCAUAUUAAUUUCCACACAAGUAGUGUGGGUUUGUCAGGUCUCAACUCUUUUGAGCUGGGUUUGUAAACAUGCUGUGUCUCUAGAAAAUACCCUCCUGGAGUCUAGUCCUUUAAAUAUAGGCAUUUUGCAUGGCCUAGUGUAAUAGGACGAAAUGCUAUUGCUGUGAAAUACCCUUAAUUCCCAUCCCCACACAAACAUGCGAAACUUUAGUGCAUAGUCAAAAUACUCAUUGAUGUGAAACUUCUCCCCUCCCUCCCCCCAAGAUAGUGGGAUUUUAUUGUGCUGUCCAGGAAGCCCAGCAUUUCUCACUGGAUCUUGUCUCACUUUCUUUGCUUUUACCCCUUGGCCAGUGUGCCCCAGAGAAGGGAGCUUAUAGAUCGCUUAAACAGCUCAUCUCCUUAGGUCUCUGCUACACCAGUGUCUUCUGUUUAACUUCUGCUUUUGGUUUGCCCAGCUUACUGGCUACAGGCAAGACUCAACAUCUGGCUCCCUGAUUUCCUGAUCGUUAGAUUACUGUAUCUUCCUAUUGGGGAAUCUAGAGAACAGAUGACUACCGACAAGAGAUGGCUGAUGGCUGGCAUGGUGGGAAUGAAAAAGCAGUGUCUGAAAUCCAUGUUGUUGCAUUUGCUGCUUAAUUUGCCACACAUCUGGGGGAGGUGAGGAGGAGUCCAAAGGGUCCUGCCUGCUAUGUUUGAGGCAGUUGAUGCCUUUCAGAGCUCUUGUUUCAGGUCCUCUGACUUUGGAAGGCAUUCCUGCUUCAGUUGAUGCUCUAAUGUUUAAGGUCUCUGCACCCAUAAGGAUUAGAAACCACUUUUUUUAAGCUAAGAUUUUGGAGCACAACUCCUUAGAAAGACUGAGUUCUGUGUCUAAUUCUGCAGUUGAACGCACAGGAGGCCACACAGCAAAUGCCUGCCUCCUUGGGAGUGUGCAUUUGCUGUACAGUCUAUUGCCUGUCAUCUCUUCUUUCUGGGUCUUAAUUUCACUUCCUCUGUCAUAUUUUACAGCUCUUACGUUUUUGUUUGGCUUUCUUACCCCAAAAGAGAGGGAAACAUGAAGCCCCUUCAAAGAGCCACUAGCUGAUGGCUUGACCAGCUGGAGUGCAGUAACAGUAGUGAGACUUUGUAAAUAUCUUACACAGAAAUACCGCAAACACUUGCUAUUGGAAAGAAUGGAGAGGUCUCCUGCAUGCAUGGCCUACAUGGUGUCUGUACAGAGCAGUUAUCAACGCUGUACACAUGCGGUAUAAGCGAGGCUUGGAAAUCUAAACUAACCCCUCUCCACAGACUCAAACUUAUGAGGGAGUGGGCCCUUCAGUAUCGAUCACUCACUAAUUAGUGUCCAAUUAUAAGUCAAGUUUCUCCUCUCUUCACGUUCUAUGAAACAUGGCUUGAACUAGCAACCCAUGGUGCCUUGCUCCCCUGUAUCUAACUCUUUUUUCUGUUUUUUAAAAAGUGUGUGUGUGUGUGUGUGUGUGUGUAUAGCUUUUCUUCAUAAAAAGCACCUUCCAGAUAGGCACAAAAUCAAGCCAGUAACAAUGCCACUGCAAACAUAUGUACAAUGCAUCAUGCUGUACAAAUACCAGGCUCAAACUUCUUGCUUACCUAACUUCCUCUUUACCUUUUGUCUUGUCUUGGAAAGGGCUGCAUAGGUGAGGAAUAGAGUUGUCCUGGCACAAAGUCCAGGUCACCUUGCCACCUCAGGAUGCUCAGAUUUCUAAUGGGAUUUUGUAUGUGCACUCUUGUCCAUGUCUGGCUAUUACGUAUCUCUUAACUUCCUGCAUCCUCUAAAUGCCAUAAGGAAAUAGACUUUUUCCUUUCCUUACUAUACCCCUUGAGUACCCCUUUAAGUGGCAGGAUAAUGGGCAUAACUUCCAUGUGGAUAUCGAUAGUACCAGCUUCGGCUUGUAGUUUUUGCUAAGCACCAUUGGACAACUGACUUGUUUCACAACUGCCCAUGAGAUUCUGAGUAGCAAGUGUGGUGUUGACACCAGAACUGGAAGACUGAAGUUAAUAACUUGGGGAAUUUUUGAUAAAUUGGAGAGGGUUCAGAGAAGAGCUAUGAGAGGGAGUGAAGAAUUGGGAAAACUUGUCUUAAAGCAGCUUAGUCUCUUUAGCUUGAAGAGAGAUUAAGGGCCGACUUGAUCAUUCUGUAAGUACUUACAUGGAAAACAGACAUUUGAGAAGCCCUAUAUCAAUCUAACAAAUGUGUAAUGAGCUAAUGGCAGAAAGUUGAAGCAAGACCAACUCGCUCUUUCGUAAUAAUAAUAAAAAAGCAAAUUUCCAACAGUGAGGGUAACUAUAAGGGUUGUAGUGGAUUCUCCAUCAUGAGCAAUUACAUUAAGAUUCUGUUUUUUCUGAAAGAUAUAGCUAUGCUCUAGUUGAAACAAGAAUGAAUUCAGGGAAAUCCUAUAGCCUAUGUUAAGCAGGAGAUCAGAUGAGGAGAUGAUAAUGGUCUUUCUGGCCUUAUCUAUGAAUCUGCUGUUGCUUUGCAGAUGCUUUGGAACAGACCAAACAACUCACUAUAGUCUCUUGAAAUCUGGCUCCUGUUUGGAAGAGACUAGGUGGAGAGAAGGGUUUGCAACCACAAGGGCUAAAUACUUCUUCUGAUGAAAGCUCAGACUGUAGAAUGGCCUAGGUGUCCAUAGUUUUAGGGACAAGCUUUCCAGGAGCCUAGCGUGAUCUUUUUUUUUUUCUCCAAGCCUUGAAUGCCAUGACUACUUCCAGGAACAAGUUCACUAGCUUUAAACACCUUUUAAGAAAAUCUCUUGGACUCAGAACCCCUAGGUACUGAAAACUUAAAUAUGAAACUUCUUGCUAGAAUAAGCCUAUCGCAGCACUAAACUCAAAGUUGUCCAACUGCUUCUUUACAGAAAGAAUGGAGAGAAGACAGAAAUGGAGAAUUCAAAAGGAAAGUUGCCCGCUGUGUAAGAAAAAGCCAAGAGACUGCUUUUGAGUGACACUUAUUCAGCAGCUAGUAGCUUCACUUUUUUUCAGGGUCUCCAGUUGAGAAACAUGGCACUGUUUUUUCCUGCACUCUACCCACCUAUUGCUGGACUUCUGUUGUAACAUGUUGGCAAACACUGGCUGGAACUGGGCUGCAAUAAAACAUGCCAGUUAUCAAUGCUGACAAGAGCCUAACAAGUGCCAACAUAAAAAGAUGAUUACGCAUUUUGAAAUCUAAUGAACUGCUUUAACCUUCAGGAAGAAUUGUAAAGAUGUGUACAUAGCACAACAUGAUCCGGAUAAUAUAUAUACUGUUCAUGUACAUCCACAAAUACACAUUGUACCAAAUAAUGCUGUCUUGUAGUUAGGAUAAGAAUCGUGUACAUUCUAAAAGAUUUUAGCAAAUUCUUUCCCUAUUCAUUGUUUUUUCUUAUCAGUUUUUUAAAACAAAACCUCCUUGAAGCAUGUCAAACUAAAACCGAUUAGGAUUAAAGCUUUUUCCAUUUUAUUUUUCUUUGAACAAUUGAGGCUUAAUUAAAAUUUUUCACUUAUUAAAGUUUAGUAUCUAUUUGGAAAAAACACUCCCUCCUUACCCUGUAUCUCUUCAAAGGUUCAGAUUUUUCCUAAUCAAACACUGAAAGGAUCUAUAAGCAACUGUCUGACUCUAAUGACUUUUGACAACGAAAAGGUCUUUUUUUUUUUUUUUCUCUCUUCUCCCCCCCUUCCCCCCCCCCCCUUUUUUUUGACUCCGUUGCACACAGUUCUUGGAUUGGGUGUAGCAAUAAAACUUCUGGCUAUGGAGCACCCUUGAGCCUGCUAUUUUUUUUCAAAGGGCUGAGAGCUUUGGUUUGAAAGUGAUCAGUUGACUAAGCUCAAGAUAGGAUAAGCUGCUUUCUCUGGUUUUUUGCCUCUUGCCUUUGUUUUUAAGUUUUGGAUUUAAAAGGUAUGCACAUUUGUAAGCUUUCAAAUUAGUAAAUUCUGGGUUUGGUAUUGGAAAUACCAUUUCCCUUCUUAUCCCUAUUCUCUCUCCUGUGGUCCUUCAUAUUUUUGCCUUCUAUUCUUCUACUGCAGAUUUUCCUCACCUAAUGUACAAAGAGAAUUGCGAUGUAUAUUUUCAUGUAAUUUGAUUUUGGAAUUCUGUCACCUUCUGUAGUGAGUUCUUCCAAAAUAUAAUUUUUUCCAAUAA